rnacentral:rRNA from 1 species
GACGAACGCUGGCGGCGUGCCUAAUACAUGCAAGUAGAACGCUGAAGGAGGGGCUUGCUUCUCUGGAUGAGUUGCGAACGGGUGAGUAACGCGUAGGUAACCUGCCUGGUAGUGGGGGAUAACUAUUGGAAACGAUAGCUAAUACCGCAUAAUAGCAGUUGUUGCAUGAUAACUGUUUGAAAGGUGCAAUUGCACCGCUACCAGAUGGACCUGCGUUGUAUUAGCUAGUUGGUGGGGUAACGGCUCACCAAGGCGACGAUACAUAGCCGACCUGAGAGGGUGAUCGGCCACACUGGGACUGAGACACGGCCCAGACUCCUACGGGAGGCAGCAGUAGGGAAUCUUCGGCAAUGGACGGAAGUCUGACCGAGCAACGCCGCGUGAGUGAAGAAGGUUUUCGGAUCGUAAAGCUCUGUUGUAAGAGAAGAACGAGUGUGAGAGUGGAAAGUUCACACUGUGACGGUAUCUUACCAGAAAGGGACGGCUAACUACGUG